rnacentral:rRNA from 1 species
CGCCCGGGGCGGCCCCGGGCGGGGCGGGGGCACGGGGGUUGGAGGGCAAGUCUGGUGCCAGCAGCCGCGGUAAUUCCAGCUCCAAUAGCGUAUAUUAAAGUUGUUGCAGUUAAAAAGCUCGUAGUUGAAUUUCGGGGUCAGUAGGUCGGUCAUGCCACUGGUAUGUACUGGUCUCACUGAUUCCUCCUUCCUGGAUGAACCGUAAAUGCCA